GCUUCUAAAGGAUAAUAGCCUAUCCGUUGGUCUUAGGAACCAAAAACCCUUGGUGCAAAUCCAAGUAGCAGCU
rnacentral:tRNA from 1 species